CUUUUAAUUGCAUGCCGGACUGAGCAUCUCCGUUAUACGGCUCAACGCGAAUAAACGCAAACAACACAAAUUAUCGCCCAGCUUACGCAGUAGCAUAAGUUUUAACCCCUCCUUAGAGGCGGGCUGCUUCACCUGUUGACUCUAGAUAGGCAGGAUUCGAAGUAUCACCCUUAUGUAGAUAUACCUUAGGUUCGUCUCGCGCCUAAGAAGAACCUUAGAGAAUCGUCUUGUGUAGCCUUGCAAGUUGUGCGAAGCAAGAUUAAACCCUAACAACUUCUCUAAGCAUGUAGACGUUAGGAGUAGCUUGGUUUUGGACUGCGGUUCGAUCCCGCACGCCUCCACCA
rnacentral:tmRNA from 1 species